UCCCCGCUUCUCCUCCCUGAGCGGGUGCCUGUGAUGAUCGUAAAGGAUUCGAUCAGGCUGUUUGACCCGCCGUCAUGCGGCGGGUUUUUUUAU
rfam:Burkholderia glathei PML1(12) contig00029, whole genome shotgun sequence.